rnacentral:lncRNA from 1 species
GGGGAUCAAAUACUUUUCCCCCCCACUGUAUUAACAAGGGAGCAGGUCAAUACAACGCACACAUAUAAAGUGAAUCGAUUGAGUGCUCUACGAUAAUGAUGACUGGUCAUAGCUGGUCGACAAUUCACGCUCAGAUGAUUCGUUGAGAGCCCCGAGACAAAAGUACAAACGUCUUUUAUAGCCAAGAUACACCCCUUUCAACCUACAUGACGAACAACAGAUACAUAGAAUGGGUCACAAGGUUAAGAUCUGGAUGAAAGAUACCUAUAAUACAUAGCAUACAGUAUCUGCUGUGUCAACAGUUUUCAUUGUAUAGACCAGAGUCUGUCCCUCUGACUCCAAACUGGAACCAUCUCUCCCUGGUACGGUAUAGAACAGAAACAUUAACUCAUGCUCUGGAAUGCUCUUUAGGUUUUAUCACCCAAAAGACCUCAUAAAUCUCCUCUGUCAGUGUUAUCUCCCAGAGGCCCAUCCUCAGUAGAACACACACACACAAUAGUUAAUAGAAUACUCUAUUCUGUUCCAUAACACAACCAUUUGAUGCAAUAAAGGUAGUAUAACAUAGUCUUGCAGUUUUGCUCUCACAACCCUCUAUAACGUUCUCAUUUAUCAUUAUUCACGAUUCAUUCAGGAUUAUCCGUAAAUUUGUCACAAGCUUGAUGUAGUCCUUACGUACUAAGAAUAUGGAACCAAGUACGACAUUUCUGACUACUUUAUUUAUAAGAAUCUUUAAGGCUGUCAAUCAUUAAUCACCCCUAUAAAAAAAAUACUUAAAACAAUCUAUUUUUCUGAGCAAUUGUAUUAGUAUAAAAUAAUAUAAUUUCCCCUUUUUUUUUGCUUACAAUAUACUGUAGCUUAGUAUUAGAUUUUUUACAUUUUAUACAGUCAUUAUUGUUCAUAUUCAUCAAUGGUGUCAAUAAUGUCGGAACCCACUGUAUGUAUAAGAGCAUCUGGGUGUGUGGACCCUACACUGUUACUACAAAGUUCAGAGGUAACUGAUAUCAAACCCACACAGGAGCUGGAGCCGGAGGAGGCUCCACAAUCUUUCAGGGUGAAGGAAGAGGGGCUGGUCCAGGCUAAUGGAACCUCUGCCCAGGCAGCAGGAGAGGAGUUACAGCUGGCUAGAGAGGCACGAGAGGAGGAGAUGGAGGAGGAUGAAAUUGUCUCACCUUGCUCCCUAUCAGAGGUUUUCAAAUUCUAAAUUCCCAGUCCAGACCUGAGCUUCCAGCCAGAUGAGCACCUGGAAGUGUAUGUGUCAACGUCAGAGAACCCCCACCACUUCUGGAUCCAGAUUCUGGGGCUGGACAAACUUACUGCCGAGAUGAGCCGCUUCUACAGCAAAGGAACCCGGCAGGAGCAGCCAGUGGAAAUCUUCAUGGUGGGGGACAUUGUGGCUGCUCUGUACCGGGACUGUAGCACCUGGAACAGGGCUAGGGUCCUGGGGGAGAUGUGCUCUGGUUUGGUGGACCUCGACUAUGUCGACUUUGGAGACAGUAUAGAACAACACAGGGACAAUCUACGAAGUAUGAGGAGUGACUUCCUCAGCCUACCAUUCCAGGUCAUCGAGUGCAGCUUAGCUGGAGUCAACCCAGCAGGCAGACUGUGGAUCUAGGAGAGGAGCUGGUGAGUCUUGGCCAUGCUCUGCCUAGCCAGGAUAAUUGGAACGGUAGGGGCGACAGGUACUACCCCGGAUCACCACAGAGGAUGUUGAUACCUUAGCGUGACCCUGGACAACACCCUGUCGUUCUCCGAAAACAUCAAGGCGGUGACCCGAUCCUGCGCACAAUCCACUGGCUUCCAGUUGAAGCUCGCAUCUGCUACAAGACCAAGUUGCUUGCCUACGGAGCUGUGAGGGGAACGGCACCUCCGUACCUUCAGGCUCUGAUCAGUCCCUACACCCAAAGAAGGGCACUGCGUUCAUCCACCUCUGGCCUGCUCGCCUCCCUACCUCUGCGGAAGCACAGUUCCCUCUCAGCCCAGUCAAAACUGUUCGCUGCUCUGGCACCCCAAUGGUGGAACAAGCUCCCUCAUGACGCCAGGACAGCGGAGUCAAUCACCACCUUCCGGAGACACCUGAAACCCC